GGGGCAUUUCCAAUUGGCUUUGCAGUUUCCUCGAAUUUCUCUUUGGGUUUUCUGGCCAAAUCCUCCAUUUGUUGUUGGCUCUCGCUCGAUCUUUCUUGGGUUUCUUCUUCUCGGUAACUAUCACCCUUUGAAACAAUAAUAAUAGAAUUCAUUAAUGUCGAAAUAAUUGAAAUUUACAUUGGGAAGGAUGAUAAGAGGAUCAUAAAUGGUUAAAUACCUGUGUUUCAGUAGCUCUCUUAGCUUCUAAUUCUCUCGCUGCCUCUUCCUUUUUCCUGGCUGUAUACUCUUUCAGAGUCUCGCCAGCAGCUGAAGCAGCUUCCUUGGCCGCCCUUAUUGGCUUGGCAGCAAGCUCCAUUGAUUUUUUACCAGCAUACUCCCCUGCU
rnacentral:lncRNA from 1 species